rnacentral:rRNA from 1 species
GGCGAACGCUGGCGGCGUGCCUAAUACAUGCAAGUAGAACGCACAGUUUAUACCGUAGCUUGCUACACCAUAAACUGUGAGUUGCGAACGGGUGAGUAACGCGUAGGUAACCUGCCUGGUAGCGGGGGAUAACUAUUGGAAACGAUAGCUAAUACCGCAUAAUAUUGAUUAUUGCAUGAUAAUUGAUUGAAAGAUGCUAUUGCAUCACUACCAGAUGGACCUGCGUUGUAUUAGCUAGUAGGUGAGGUAACGGCUCACCUAGGCGACGAUACAUAUCCGACAUGAGAGGGUGAUAGGCCACACUGGGACUGAGACACGGCCCAGACUCCCACGGGAGGCAGCAGUAGGGAAUCUGCGGCAAUGGACGAAAGUCUGACCGAGCAACGCCGCGUGAGUGAAGAAGGGUUUCGGAUCGUAAAGCUCUGUUGUAAGAGAAGAACGGGUGUGAGAGUGGAAAGUUCACACUGUGACGGUAUCUUACCAGAAAGGGACGGCUAACUACGUG